rnacentral:rRNA from 1 species
GGCGCACGGGUGAGUAACGCGUACACGACCUACCUCUGACAGGGGGAUAGCCCUGGGAAACUGGGAUUAAUACCGCAUAUUAUUCUGAUUAAUAAAGGAUUGGAAUGAAAGUUCAGGCGGUCAGAGAUGGGUGUGCGUCUGAUUAGCUAGUUGGUAGGGUAACGGCCUACCAAGGCGAUGAUCAGUAGGGGGCGUGAGAGCGUGGUCCCCCACACGGGUACUGAGACACGGACCCGACUCCUACGGGAGGCAGCAGUAAGGAAUAUUGGACAAUGGCCGCAAGGCUGAUCCAGCCAUCCAGCGUGCAGGAAGAAGGCCCUAUGGGUUGUAAACUGCUUUUAUCAGGGAAUAAACCUCUGGAUUCACUCCGGAGCUGAAGGUACCUGAAGAAUAAGCACCGGCUAACUCCGUGCCAGCAGCCGCGGUAAUACGGAGGGUGCGAGCGUUAUCCGGAAUUACUGGGUUUAAAGGGUGCGUAGG